rnacentral:ncRNA from 1 species
UAAAUCUUAAGCGCCCGAACCGAAAAUAAUCGGUUGACGAGGAUGGGGCUAAUCGAAAAUUCGGCGGAUACCCCACGCUUUGCACAAGCGUAAGCAAAUUUUUAAAACCUUGCGAGCAAUCGCAGUCACAAAGGAAUUU